UACAGAGGUCUCAAGCGUUGUUCGGAUUCAUUGGGCGUAAAGGGUGCGUCGGUGGCGGGGCAAGUCUGGUGUGAAAUCCCGGGGCUCAACCCUGGAACUGCACUGGAUACUGCUUUGCUAGAGUACUGGAGAGGGAACUGGAAUUUACGGUGUAGCAGUGAAAUGCGUAGAUAUCGUAAGGAAGACCAGUGGCGAAGGCGAGUUCCUGGACAGUUACUGACACUGAGGCACGAAGGCCAGGGGAGCAAACGGG
rnacentral:rRNA from 1 species